CUGUCGGUGUAACUGGCAUGUCGCGGCAUGUCCUGUCGGUGGUGAACGAGAUCCCCGGUGCUAGCUUAGGCUUUUUAGUCUUUGUUGUGUGCCGUGCGUGUUUUCGUUUGCCGAUCUCUCCUACUCCGGUGCUCUUAAACGAGUGUCGAGGUAGGCCGACACGUUCACUUUGAACAAAUUAGAGUGCUUAAAGCAGGCUGAAAUAUCUGCCUGAAUAGUGGUGCAUGGAAUGAUAAAAUAGGACCUCGGUUCUAUUUUGUUGGUUUUAGGAAUAUGAGGUAAUGAUCAAUGUGGACUGGCGGGGGCAUUCGUAUUGCGACGUUAGAGGUGAAAUUCUUGGAUCGUCGCAAGACGCACUAGAGCGAAAGCAUUUGCCAAGUAUGUCUUAAUUGAUCAAGAACGAAAGUUAGAGGUUCGAAGGCGAUCAGAUACCGCCCUAGUUCUAACCAUAAACGAUGCCGGCCAGCGAUCCGCCGAUGUUCCUUUAAUGACUCGGCGGGGAGCUUCUACUCGGGAAACCAAAGCUUUUGGGUUCCGGGGGAAGUAUGGUUGCAAAGCUGAAACUUAAAGGAAUUGACGGAAGGGCACCACCAGGAGUGGAGCCUGCGGCUUAAUUUGACUCAACACGGGAAACCUCACUAGGCCAGGACAUUGGAAGGAUUGACAGAUUGAUAGCUCUUUCUUGAUUCAGUGGGUAGUGGUGCAUGGCCGUUCUUAGUUGGUGGAUCGAUUUGUCUGGUUAAUUCCGAUAACGAACGAGACUCUAGCCUAUUAACUAGACGAUCCCGGUAUCAAUGCUACCGGCGAUACUUAAUCUUCUUAAAGGGACAGGCGGCUUACAGCCGCACGAGAUUGAGCAAUAACAGGUCUGUGAUGCCCUUAGAUGUCCUGGGCCGCACGCGCGCUACACUGAAGGAAUCAGCGUGUCCUACCCUGGUCGCAAGGUCCGGGUAACCCGUUGAACCUCCUUCGUGCUAGGAAUUGGGGCUUGCAAUUGUUCCCCAUAAACGAGGAAUUCCCAGUAAGCGCGAGUCAUAAGCUCGCGUUGAUUACGUCCCUGCCCUUUGUACACACCGCCCGUCGCUACUACCGAUUGAAUGAUUUAGUGAGGUCUUCGGACCGGCGGUAAUCUUUAUUAACCUAGUUUAGUAUUGAUGUACGCUGGAAAGAUGACCAAACUUGAUCAUUUAGAGGAAGUAAAAGUCGUAAC
rnacentral:rRNA from 1 species